rnacentral:lncRNA from 1 species
GCCACCCCAACACACGGCAGGUCUGUAAGGACGCCAAGGUGGCAGGCCACCCCAAAGCCUGCCAGAGAGAAAGGAGGGUGGGGUUGGGGAGGUGGGGCUGGGGCCUGGCACAGGGAUUCAGGACAAGCCAGUCUUACCAAAAGCUUCCCUAAGUGAGCAGAGGUCUGUGGACAGGCAGAGGGCUGGGGAAACCAGAUCUAAGUCCCAAGCAGACCUGGGCGAAAGCCCCCUGUGCCCGAUGUCCUGGGUGCAAGGCCGUGGAGGAAGCCUCCUUCUCUCUGACACGGUCAGUGCCAGGGUCAGCACCUCGCUGGCGUGCUGGGAUACUGCAGCUCUCCGGUCAUUUCCUGCACCUCCCAGCUUCCUCUUCCCUCGACGGUGGCCUGCCAGCGCUGGCACGAGCAUGUGGGUCGGCACAUGACAACCCUUUGGCUCUGCACCCAUGUGCGAGGGCAGCAGCCAGGGCCGAGUCACACUUGCUGGCCAGGAAGGCCCAAUGUCACCCCUCCUGGGCCCUCUCUGGGUGCUGCUGCGCCGCCCGCAGCUCUGUAUGUAACAGUAAAAGAGCCCAUCUCCCUAGGCCGGGCGCGGUGGCUCACGCCUGAAAUCCCAGCACUUUGGGAGGCCGAGGCAGGCGGAUCACGAGGUCAGGAGAUCAAGACCAUCCUGGCUAACACGUGAAACCCCGUCUCUCCUAAAAAUACAAAAAAAUUAGCCGGGCGUGGUGAUGGGCACCUGUAGUCUCAGCUACUCAGGAGGCUGAGGCAGGAGAGUGGCAUGAACCCGGGAGGCGGAGGUUGCAGUGAGCCGAGAUCGCGCCACUGCACUCCAGCCUGGGCGACAGAGCGAGACUCCGUCUCAAAAAAAAAAGAGCCCAUCUCCCUCAGCCACGCUCCCUAGGCCAAGGUUCCUGGCAUCAGUGGGGGCCUGGGUACACCUGUCUAGUUGUGGACAAGGGGCCUGACGGGCCAUGCAGGUUGGGCGGCUGGCAGGGAAGGCCACUCUGAGCCCGGGCCCUGGGACAUCUUUUGGUGAUCAGGUCAGAACUGGAUAGUGGCACCUGGAGAUGAGCCAGCACAGGGCACUGUAGAGAAGGCAGUGGCGGACAGGAAAGAGUGCCCUCCCUGGACCUCCAAGAGCAGGAUUACCUCGGUGGUGGAGUACCCCGUUUCCAUCCACAAGAAGGACCUAUGGAGCCACAGGGAGAGUCACAGUCAGCUGAGCUGCCCCUCGGCCCUCAGGACAGGGCCAUCCCUGAGGCAAGAAGGGGGCACUGUCUCUGGGGUCCAGCUUUUUAGAAAUCCUCAUUCCUCUCUUCCAGGAAGCUCAUGAGUCUCUCCCUGCCACUGUGGUGGUGGCGACCUGCAGCAGCCUUCCCUCCCCCAGGGGGAAGGAGGGACCUUUCUCUCGUCCUAGGGAUGAGACACCUGCCUGGGGCAUGAGGCCCGGCUCCUUCUCCCGCAGCUGCUGCACCAGCUCCAGCAAGAAGGGCACCUCUCGGAAGGCCAGGAAGCCCGACACGUAGGGGGCUGUGAGGCUGACCAUGCGGCUCUCCUCAUACACCACCUGACACCAGGCACGCAGCUCAGUGGGAAGCACAGCCUUCGGCCACCUGCUCCAUCCCCAGUCCGUCCAUGCCCUGCCCCCCUCAUCCUUCCCUCUCCCUUACGUCACCCUCAUGGCUCCCCUUCCCUGCCUCACCUAUGAGAUGAUGGGUUUGGAAGAAGGAACUAGAAGAUGUACCCUGCAAAUUGGUGGUGGGCAGGUACCCCCGGGACCUGGUCCAUAGGAGCAGACCCCCCCAGGACCUGGUCCGUAGCAGCAGCUCCCCCGGGACCUGGUCUGUAGCAACAGCACCCCCACCCCGCCCCCACCGGGACCUGGUCCAUAGCAGCAGCCCCCUGGGACCCGGUCCAUAUGAGAACCCCCACCCCGGACCCGGUCCACUGGAGGAGCCCCAACUCCCAGACCUGAUGUGUAUAGUAGGAGCCCCUGGGACCUGGUCCAUAGGAGGAUUCCCUGGUAUCUGGUCUGUAUGAGGAGCCCCCAGGACCUGGUCCAUAGGAGGAUUCCCCGGGAUCUGGUCUGUAUGAGGAUUCCCCGGGACCCGGUCCAUAGGAAGAUUCCCCGGGAUCUAGUUCAUAGGAUGAGCCCCUGAAGCCUAGACUGUAGAAGGAUUCCCUGGAAUCUAGUCCAUAGGAGGAGCCUCCGGGACCUGGUCCAUAGGAGGAUUCCCUGGGAUCAGGUCCGCGGGAGCCCCCCAGGACCUGGUCUUCAUCAGAAGCAAGGCUAAGGCUGCUGGCUGCAUCACCUCUGCCUGCCCCUUGCUUUCCUGGUGUCUCCUCCUUUGUGUAUUGAAGCCGAUGCCCCACCCCACCCCUCCAUGGGUUGUUGGAGGCUUAAAGAAGACACAGUGUUGGCCAGGCGUGGUGGCUCACGCCUGUAAUCCCAGCACUUUGGGAGGCCGAGGCGGACGAUCACCUGAGGUUGGGAGUUCAAGACCAGCCUGACCAACAUGGAGAAACCCCGUGUUUACUAAAAAUACAAAAUUAUCUGGGCGUGGUGGCGCAUGCCUGUAAUCCCAGCUACUCGGGAGGCUGAGGCAGGAGAACUGCUUGAACCCAGGAGGCAGAGGCUGCAGUUUAGAGCACAACAUGGCAGGCCUGAGUCUCCUAACCUUGUGUUUUCCUUAGUCACACUGCCCUUAAUGUGAAGACGUUUCCCACUAUGUCCACAUUCUGCAGACCUGUCUACCUUCCUGCAGUUUUGUUACUGAAUCCCCCAAAUCUCUUGGUGACAGCUUUCAAAUCACAACUUCCACUCCUCACUUGUGGCUGGAUCAAUAAUUAAACACACCAAAGCAGACGGAGUGCUCUGUAUUAGCACAGAGGGUUGGGGAUCAUUCUCACAACAUCUUCAUCAAUGACUCAAUGGGGAAACUGAUCAAAUCUGCCCAUGACCCAAAGUGGGGAGGGUCCAUUCUGAUAACAGAAUUUGGGUUCACAGAGAAGCCAGCAGGCUGGAUCACUGACAUCCCCACAGAGUAAAAGUCACUUUGCACAGUGACAUGUGGAAUUCAAGUGUGGCCUGAGUUCCCACAGGAGGGGCGUGGCUGCUUACAUCUGAAUCUCUCCCAUAAUGUUAUCAUUCAGGUGACAUUAUGGGAUGACUAUGAUGUGUAAUCAGUAUGAUAAUGACACUGUGGCUGUGGAGGAGAAUGUCAUUCUCAGGACAGGCCUGCUGAUGUCUUCUGAGCUGUCACAGUCGCUGGGAUGUACGGUACACACGCACACAAAGAGCGCAUGUGCGCGAGAGAGAAUAUUCCAGAGCAGCAACAGCUGAACCUAAGUAGAAGGAAUACAGGUGUCCAACGUAUCCUUUUCCAAUUUGGGGGGAUGUAUGUACAUUUUCAAAUUAAAAAUCUGGGAAAAGAAAAAUCACUGUAUGAUUAGCGUAGGGGGCAGGUCUGGAUGACCAGCAAUCUCAACAUAAGCCAGUGACCUGGUGCCCCUCAAAAGCUACCAGUGUUUCCAGCUACACCGACUGAAAUGGCGUGGGUGACAGUUAGGUCUAGGGACUUGGGUAGACCACAUCCAAGUUCCUGCAUUUGAUUCUGAGUGCAGACGGAAAGAUGGAUUGUGUGAACGGAGGGCAUGACCAGAGGGCCACUGACCAGUGAAGAAGCUGGACGUCAUCGCAGCCUCUUGGGACAGUGUGGUCAAGGAGCAGGCAGCUGUUUCCAGCAGCAGAAGGGCUGACAAGCAGAAGGCAGGGAAGAUCCGUUCUGUUUUGCUACCUGAAGGCAGAACUGAUCGAUGGGAGUCACAGACAAGUAGGAGUCAGCUCCCUGCGGAGCAGAACACACUAGCCAUUGCUCAGCGUCCAGCACACAACAGGCUCCACCAGGCCUGUGGAGCAGCACACACCAGCCAUCGCUCAGCAUCUGGCAUGGAAUGGGCUCCGCCAGAGGCCUGCGGAGCAGCACACACCAGCCAUGGCUCAGCAUCUGGCACAGAACGGGCUCCGCCAUCGUUUGUCAGGGAUGCUAAGGACAGUGUUCUUCACGGUGGGAAAAGCAGGCCAGUGGUUCUCCAGCCCAGCUCUGCUUCAGAAUCACAGGAAAGCUUAUUUUAAAAAGCAGAUUCUUAUGCUAUACUCUGGGAGAGUUUUUCCCCCAGUAAGUGGGGUAGGGCUCUGGAAUCUGUUUUUUUUUUUUUUUUUUUGA